UACAGAGGUCUCAAGCGUUGUUCGGAUUCACUGGGCGUAAAGGGUGCGUAGGCGGUCGGGUAAGUCUGAUGUGAAAUCUCCAAGCUCAACUUGGAAAUGGCAUCGGAUACUAUUCGGCUCGAGGAAUGGAGGGGAGACUGGAAUACUUGGUGUAGCAGUGAAAUGCGUAGAUAUCAAGUGGAACACCAGUGGCGAAGGCGAGUCUCUGGACAUUUCCUGACGCUGAGGCACGAAAGCCAGGGGAGCAAACGGG
rnacentral:rRNA from 1 species